AGAGUUUGAUCCUGGCUCAGGAUGAACGCUAGCGACAGGCUUAACACAUGCAAGUCGAGGGGCAGCGGGGUAGGAAGCUUGCUUUCUGCCGCCGGCGACCGGCGCACGGGUGAGUAACACGUAUGCAACCUGGCCGUGACAGAUGGAUAACCGGGAGAAAUCCCGCCUAAUACAACAUAAUGCCGGGAGGGGACAUCCCCUGCCGGCCAAAGGGGGCGACCCCGGUCACGGAUGGGCAUGCGGCGCAUUAGGUAGUUGGUGGGGCAACGGCCCACCAAGCCGACGAUGCGUAGGGGUUCUGAGAGGAAGGUCCCCCACAUUGGAACUGAGACACGGUCCAAACUCCUACGGGAGGCAGCAGUGAGGAAUAUUGGUCAAUGGCCGGAAGGCUGAACCAGCCAAGUCGCGUGAGGGAAUAAGGCCCUACGGGUCGUAAACCUCUUUUGCCAGGGAGCAAUGCCGUCCACGUGUGGACGGAAGGAGAGUACCUGGAGAAAAAGCAUCGGCUAACUCCGUGCCAGCAGCCGCGGUAAUACGGAGGAUGCGAGCGUUAUCCGGAUUUAUUGGGUUUAAAGGGUGCGUAGGCGGCCUGCCAAGUCAGCGGUAUAAUUGCGGGGCUCAACCCCGUACAGCCGUUGAAACUGCCGGGCUCGAGUGGGCGAGAAGUAUGCGGAAUGCGUGGUGUAGCGGUGAAAUGCAUAGAUAUCACGCAGAACCCCGAUUGCGAAGGCAGCAUACCGGCGCCCGACUGACGCUGAGGCACGAAAGUGCGGGGAUCAAACAGGAUUAGAUACCCUGGUAGUCCGCACAGUAAAC
rnacentral:rRNA from 1 species